CAUGAGCAUAAGCCAGGGAUUAGGAGGGCUAAAAGUGGGUGGGGGCUCUGUUGCCUGGGAUCGCCGAUCUCAGACACCGAUAGCUUCAGGCGCCUAUGGAUUGUGCUCAGCGGACACCAAUCAAGGCUACUUUAACUCUUCCUCUUAAAAGGGCAACCCACAAUGUGGCCGAAACAGAUGCUGGCACGUCUUUUAAACUACUGGAGCACACUUGCAAACAAUGGAAAAGAAAGAUGCCAAAGAAGUGGGGCCAUAAGAUGAAAAAUGUGGAUUUAGAAGUGUAAACAUCUGAUGUAAAGAACAGCAGUGUUAAAUCUGUGGAUAUCAGCAACAUGGGAAUCAAACUCCGCAAGGUGAGAUUAAGGUGAGAUUAAGAUGAAGAAACAAAAACUUCAUACUUAAAGGGUCAGAUAACAUUUGUCGAGUGAACAAUUACUUUCAAGGUCAACGAUUCUUCAUCAAAAUUAGUUGAUUAAUGCCUCGGCUUAAAUGGA